AUCGCUUCUCGGCCUUUUGGCUAAGAUCAAGUGCAGUGUUUAAAUCUGUUAUAUAUUAAUAAUAAGUAUAGAGCACUGUGUGGAGGAUGUAUAUCCCCCGACUCACCCUAUGUAUGCAUUUCUUUCUAAAAGAAAUGCUGAUCUGGAUGAAUA
rnacentral:snRNA from 1 species